CCUACGGGAGGCAGCAGUGAGGAAUAUUGGUCAAUGGACGAGAGUCUGAACCAGCCAAGUAGCGUGAAGGAUGACUGCCCUAUGGGUUGUAAACUUCUUUUAUAUGGGAAUAAAAUGUUCCACGUGUGGGAUUUUGUAUGUACCAUAUGAAUAAGGAUCGGCUAACUCCGUGCCAGCAGCCGCGGUAAUACGGAGGAUCCGAGCGUUAUCCGGAUUUAUUGGGUUUAAAGGGAGCGUAGGUGGAUUGUUAAGUCAGUUGUGAAAGUUUGCGGCGUAACCGUAAAAUUGCAGUUGAAACUGGCAGUCGUGAGUACAGUAGAGGUGGGCGGAAUUCGUGGUGUAGCGGUGAAAUGCUUAGAUAUCACGAAGAACUCCGAUUGCGAAGGCAGCUCACUGGACUGCAACUGACACUGAGGCUCGAAAGUGUGGGUAUCAAACAGGAUUAGAUACCCCGGUAGUC
rnacentral:rRNA from 1 species